CUCCACUAGUCGCCUCCCGUCGCGCCUGUGUCACGGGGUAGCGGGGGCUCGGCCCGGUGGCUGGUGCCGGACUGUGCCCGCACCCCGCCGGGGCGAAGGCGGCGGUGACGCUGCCCGGCCUUUGUCGGGGCCGGCAGGGGGGUGAGCGGCCUUCCCUUUCCUGACAUGGUGUGAGGUGCCCGCCGGGUGGCUGCUCGGCGCCCCCUGGUUUCCUCAGCCCCAGCCCUCCGGUGUGGUGCUCAGCGAGGCGCUGUGGGCGCCAGGCUGGCCCCGGCUCCCCUCCUGCCGCGAUAGGCCGCUAGAGCGGCGGUCCGGCUGGCCUGGGGUCCGCGCCCGCUCCGGGUGCCUCCGGCCAGGCAGGGGCUUUGCACGGCCAAAGGUUAAAAUGAAUGUUGGUGUCCCAGAUAAUUGGCAUAUUGGGGAGAAAUGCCUUGCCCCUUGUCUUGAAAAUGGGAAACUUCAUGAAGGAACAAUAUCCUCUAUUGAAAAGGACAAGAAUGGAAAAUCAUUUGCUGUUGUAUCAUUCUCGGAGUCUGAAGAAAGGAAAAUAUUAAUAACUAAACUUUGUAGAGUCAAAGACAGAAGAGAACCCUGGAAAAGCUCAAUAUUUGAUGAUGGUGAUCUGGAAAAGCCUUGUUUUCCUGGCCAAAAUCUUCCGUCUCCUGCAGUUGCUUUUAAAUUAUCUGACAAUGGUGAUUUUAUUCCAUAUACAAUUAACAGAUACCUGCGUGAUUAUCAAAGGGAAGGAGUCCAAUUUCUGUAUGGACAUUAUGCUAAUAAAAGGGGGUGUAUUCUUGGAGAUGAUAUGGGCCUUGGAAAGACAAUACAGGUCAUUUCGUUUUUGGCUGCAGUAUUGCACAAAAAGGGAACACGUGAAGAUAUUGAAAAUAAUAUGCCAGAAUUUUUACUGAGGACAAUGAAAAAAGAACCAAAGUGUAACCCCAAGAAGACUUUCCUCAUAGUGGCCCCUCUUUCAGUGCUGUACAACUGGAAGGAUGAGUUAGACGCAUGGGGAUACUUUAAGAUCUCUGUCUUACAUGGCAGUAAAAAAGAUGAUGACUUGAGUCGCAUCAAGCAAGGGAAGUGUGAAGUUGCCCUUACAACAUAUGAGAUACUUCGCCUGUAUUUGGAUGAAUUUAACAGUGUAGAAUGGUCUGCUGUAAUAGUGGAUGAAGCACACAGAAUCAAGAAUCCAAAGGCUCAAAUAACUCAAACCAUGAAGUCAUUAAAAUGCAGUGUUCGCAUUGGCCUUACUGGAACCAUUCUUCAGAACGAUAUGAAGGAACUUUGGUGUGUUAUGGACUGGGCUGUACCAGGACUUUUGGGUAGCAGAGCACACUUCAAGAAGAAGUUUUCUGAUCCAGUGGAGCAUGGCCAGAGGCACACUGCAACUAAAAGAGAGCUAGCAACAGGUCGUAAGGCCAUGGUGGAGCUAGCAAGAAAAAUGUCUGGCUGGUUUCUGAGGCGAACCAAAGCACUUAUCAGUGAUCAGUUGCCAAAAAAGGAAGACAGAAUCGUGUACUGUUACCUGACCGAAUUCCAGAAAGCAGUGUACCAGGCUGUGCUAGAGACAGAGGAUGUGAGCUUAGUAUUACAAGCAGGAGAGCCCUGCAGCUGCAACAGCGGCCGUAAAAGAAAGAACUGUUGUUACAAAGAAAAUGCUUAUGGUGAAACAAUUAAGUCACUGCGCUUCAGUUACCUGACAAUCCUACAGAAGGUUGCAAAUCAUGCUGCACUGCUGCAGACAGACAACACUAGCAAGCAGCAGGAAGCACAUAUCAAACGGGUGUGCAGCCAAGUGUUUUCCAGUUUUCCAGAUUUUGUGCAGUUAAGCAAAGAUGCAGCUUUUGAAACAAUUUCAGAUCCAAAGUACAGUGGAAAAAUGAAGGUCCUUCAGCAGCUUUUAAAUCACUUCCGAAGAAACAAGGAUAAAGUUCUUCUUUUCUCCUUUUCCACAAAGUUGCUGGAUGUGCUGGAACAAUACUGUAUGGCGUCUGGGCUAGAUUACCGAAGACUUGAUGGAAAUACGAAAUCAGAAGAUAGAAUGAGAAUUGUAAGAGAGUUCAACAGCAUUCAAGAAAUUAACAUAUGUCUUGUAUCUACAAUGGCUGGUGGACUAGGUCUUAAUUUUGUUGGUGCCAAUGUUGUUAUAUUGUUUGAUCCUACAUGGAACCCAGCAAAUGAUCUUCAAGCUAUUGACAGAGCUUAUAGGAUUGGCCAAUACAAACCUGUUAAAGUGUUUAGACUGAUAUCCUUGGGAACUGUGGAGGAGAUGAUGUACUUGCGGCAAGUUUAUAAACAGCAACUUCACUGUGCGGUGGUUGGAAGUGAAAAUGCCAAGCGGUAUUUUGAGGCAGUGCAAGGAUCAAAGGAACAUCAAGGAGAGCUUUUUGGGAUCCAUAACCUUUUCAAACUCAGGACUCAUGGGUCCUGUCUUACCAAAGACAUCCUGGAGAGGGAAGGGCAAGUAGAAGCAGGAGUCAUAACAGCAACUACGUGGCUAAAGGAAGAGACUUCUCCAUGCAGCUCAGAAAAGGUGAGGACUAUGAAGCAGAAAGAUAGAAAUUCCGAAAGCAUUCAGCCUUGCAAUGCAAAUAAUUCAGUGGUGACCAAGGGACAGCUUUCCUUAAUGCAGUGUGGAUUCUCUAAGUUGUUGCAGAGAGAAGUUGGAACUACCAAAGAAGAGGAGAAUAAUUACAACUCUCAUCAUUCCAGUUCUGAUGAUCAGACUUUAAGAACAAAUGUCAAUAGCAAGCACAACUGGCUUGUUUUAUCAGGCUCUGAGGAGGAAGGGGACGUAGAAAGUGAUGAUCAAGGCAUUUCAAAGCACAGUGAUACAGUCAUGGAUAUUGAAAACAGUUCUGAAGAUGAUGAUGAUGUCAUCUUUCCUACCCAAGUUUCAGCAUGCCAGCAACCACUGCUUAGUAAAAAAGUUGAAUUAUGCAGGUCACCAUCUGUAAAUUUUGAAGAGUUAGCAAAAGAAAAACAGGGGUUUGUAUUUAAGGAAGACAGUAGGCAGUUUGGAUUCCAUAACAGUGAGUCAAAUUUCAGCAAAACUAUGUCUUUUGAAGACAUCAAGAACAGCACAAGAGAAUUGAAAGGAGCAAGUGACAUAAGUGAUGAGUCCGAUGAUAUUGAGAUUUACCAUAAUUCUAAAUUGAGAAAGUCAAGAACUUUUAGCUUUCCGAAAUGGAAAGAAAGAUAUGCCCAUAACAACAGACAAGAUAAUGUCUCAAAACCUCAGCUACAAACAAAGAAGCCCAAUAAAAAAGAAAAGGAAAGUGAUUCUCAGAAUAUAGAUGAAUUUUCAUCCUCUGAAGACAACUUGCCAGGUGAGAAAACACAUGCCAGAAAGCAAAACUAUACGCAUAAAAACCAGAGAGACAGAGUUCGGUUUGGGCCUAAAAUACUCUAUCGUAUUCAAGAUACCUCUGUUGCACAAAUGAAAUCUAGCAGUUACACUGUGUGUAGAACUUCUGCAAGUAAAACUGAAUUUGAACAUCAAGAGCAGAAAGUGGAAUCAAUGGACAGAUAUUUAGAUGGUGUCCCAGAAGUGGCAUAUAUUCAUUCAAAUCAGAAUGUGGUUGGAUCCAGCAAGGCUGAGAAUCACUUGAGCCGGUGGGCAGUACGAGAUGUAUUUGAGUUGAAGCAGUUUUCCCAGCUCCCUGCUAAUGUAGCAGUCUGUAGUGCCAAGGUAAAGAGAAAUGUUUGGGAAAUGUUUAAUCAACACCACCUGUAUGUUAUGCAUCCUGUGACCCAGAAAAACAAAAAAAUACACAAAGUAGGUUCAACCACCUUCUUGGUUGGGAGGACACCCAAAGGAAUCCGCAGGAGACAGUUUGAAGAAAUGGUGUCCCACUUUAAUAUGGGAUCAGUGGAAGAACUUGCAGAACAUGUUGUAAAAGCUACAUCAGAAACAAGGCAGAAGAUGUUGAGGGAAUUCUAUAUUUCCAGGCAUCCAGAGAUGGAGUCUUUCUUCCCAGCUGAAAUAGCAGUACAGUCUUCACGUGACUGUGAGGAAAAAGAAUUGGGUACAACACACUCCAGAAAAAGAAAAUCCAUUGCUAAUUUUGGAAGAUCUAAGUCUAGACCUUCAUCAGCUAACGGACUACUUUGGAGCAGAACUACAGAAACACAGAGCCAGCAGAGCCAAAAAGUAGAAGUAGAGCAGAUUCACAAUGACUCCUACUUGCAAGAUGUGUGUGUUGAUGCAAAAUAUAAACAAUCACCCACUGUUGCUACUCAACAUAUCGAAAGGAGAAACAGUCAGGCAUUCAAGGAUUUUAUGGCAUUUGGCUCAUUAGGCAGUAAAUCAGAAAUAAUUGAGGUGCUGCCUGUAAAAAGUUGUGAAGGACAGCAGGGCUCAGAAGGAACACAGCUGCCAAGAAAAAGAUGCCUGUCUCAGUCAGCAAAUGGGGAGAGAAAAGCUCAUACUUGUAAGAAAAAGUCUUUUGUGGACUUACUUGGAGAUACCUCUAUUCUCAAUGACCUCUUCAGAAAUGAUGGAAGUGGGCCUACAGACUCACUAAGGAGAUUCCCUUCAGGGCAAGUAGAAAAAUCAAAGGAGAAACCAAAAGAUUUCUGGGACAUGCUGAGUGAGCAGAAUGAGGAGAGCCUCAGAAAGCUCACAGACAUAGCAGUCAUAGAGAAGCUAUGUGAAAAAGCACCUCCUCCCCUGGUAACAGAAGAGAGAGAAGUGCAUGAAAGUUCUCUUUGGAAAAAAAACGAAAAUUUUCUAUGGAAAAAGUACAGUCCAGAUGAUUCAGAUGGACCAUCCACUGCUACAUCUUGUAAUGUAGUAAAACAAAAGUUUUCUGUGUGACUUGCACUAUAAUUAUUUUAUUUGGAUAUUGAAAUUUCCACAGCUUCAGCAGUAUUCAGCAAAAUAUAACUUCAUGAAAUGAAAGGCAAAGUGAUGAAUUUGUAUUCUUGAUAAUAUGGAUUUACAUUUUACAGAUGUGAAUAUAUAUGUAAUUACAUAUGUAUAGUACAUAUGUACAUAGUAGUACAUAAAUACUAUAUUGUAAGCUGUUAUAUAUUAAUUUUAAAUUAAACCUUUUUAAAUGUUCUGAGUGCA
rnacentral:lncRNA from 1 species